AAUCAACGCUGGCGGCGUGCCUCAGACAUGCAAGUCGAACGCGAAAGUUCCCUUCGGGGAGCGAGUAGAGUGGCGCACGGGUGAGUAACACGUAGGUAAUCUACCUUCGGAUGGGGAAUAACAACCGGAAACGGUUGCUAAUACCGCAUAAUGCAGCGGCACCUAAUGGUGACAGUUGUUAAAGCGGGGGAUCGAAAGACCUCGCGUCUGAAGAGGAGCCUGCGGCGGAUUAGCUAGUUGGUAAGGUAACGGCUUACCAAGGCGACGAUCCGUAGCCGGCCUGAGAGGGCGGUCGGGCCACACUGACACUGACAUACGGGUCAGACUCCUACGGGAGGCAGCAGUCGGGAAUUUUGGGCAAUGGGCGAAAGCCUGACCCAGCAACGCCGCGUGAAGGAUGAGAUCCCUCGGGAGUGUAAACUUCGCAAGAACGGG
rnacentral:rRNA from 1 species